rnacentral:sRNA from 1 species
ACGGGCGCUCAGGCAUCAACCUGAGCCAUGCUCCAAGCGACGGCGCGGAUUGGACAGGACAAGCUAAUUCUGGGAUAGUUUCACUGUGCGUGGCCUUUUUCUGCAGCGUUUCCCGCACACAAUAAUAAUGGCUUAUCAAAACCGAGCUUACCCUGUUGAUACAUAACUAACAGUACACCCAACCACACAAUUCGAAAUCGACGACAAGUCCACAGCAAAGAGGGGGGGAAAGGGAAAAAAAACUAAUCAAGGCAGUUAUCGUUGUUGUUGUUGUUAUUUGACGGAUUCGUUGUUCCAUUCAUCUAUUCUUCGAUUUUAAUAUUAUCUGCAAAAGGACGACAAGCAAGCCACAGCAGGGAAUCAGAUCCAGGAACAUCCUCAUCCAGUGAGCGGCGGCUGGAGGCGCAAAUCCUCGUUCCAGACGCAG